GUCGGGUUCGGGAUGAAGCCGUUGACCUUUCCACCGAUGACCAUCUCGGUGUGUCGGCCGUCCUGGAACACGCGCACGCCGCGAUCACGGAACUUCCG
rnacentral:sRNA from 1 species